UACGGAGGGGGCUAGCGUUGUUCGGAAUUACUGGGCGUAAAGCGCUCGUAGGCGGAUUGGUCAGUCAGAGGUGAAAGCCCAGGGCUCAACCCUGGAACUGCCUUUGAUACUGCCAGUCUAGAGUUCGGGAGAGGUGAGCGGAAUUCCGAGUGUAGAGGUGAAAUUCGUAGAUAUUCGGAGGAACACCAGAGGCGAAGGCGGCUCACUGGACCGAUACUGAACGCGUGAG
rnacentral:rRNA from 1 species